GCAAAUAUGGAUGAGUCUGACAUCAGAAAGAAUUGGCCUGGCGGUGUGGUAGGAAGGCAAGAUUGUUUAUCCGAAAUUGAUUCUCGCAAUUGCCGGGUGAGGGAUUGGUCUGUUGAUUUUUCUGCUGCUGGUGUGAACCUUGACAGUUCAAAAAUGUCUGUUGAUAAUCGCUCACAGCGUAGCCUCUCAAAUGACAAUGCAAGUCAG
rnacentral:misc_RNA from 1 species